CCUCAGUGGAUCCCCCUUCUCCCUUGGGAGCUGGGAAAGUCACCUGAGUGGAGGCCAGGAUUCCCUUUCAGAGGCAUUUCCUCGGAUGCGAGGGACUGAGGAAGGCCGUGGGCAACUGCGAGAGUCUAGGCUGAGGCUACACUUCAGCGGCUUCUCAAGUGUCCGCGUGUCUGGAAUCAGACCCCGACAGCCUGCCUGGGUGUCCACGAGGAGUGCCUCUCUCUCUGUCUCUCUGACUUCCAGCCUGCUUUUUCAGGCCUCCCUGGCCUCUGAGUGAGGCAGGGGGCGUCCCUAACACUCUCCUAACUUCAUCAAUUUCAUGGAAUGUGAGGUGCACCACCGCAGGAACACCAACCUGCCGAGAAAACUGGAACAAAGAGGAGAAGAUGUGAUACAGGAACAUCGAGCCUAAACUGAGAACGGCUGGAUGUGGAUCCCUGUGUUCCGCAAGUGGCAGGAAUCUCAAGUCUCUCCAAAUACUCCACCUGUCUUUGCUUUCCAACCCCACGAUCCUCCAGAGCAUCAUGUAAGCUGAAGAUGCAUGUGGAGGAACAAUGAGAGGAUCCAAGGGCAUCAUGUCAGGCCCUGGUUUUCCUAAUGAGCAUCAUAACAAUGCUGACUGCACUUGGACCAUUGUAGCAGAGCCUGGGGACACAAUUUCACUCAUAUUUACUGAUUUCCAAAUGGAAGAAAAGUAUGAUUACUUAGAAAUAGAAGGUUCUGAGCCCCCUACAGUAUAGUAAGUAGAUAGUUUCCUUUAAUCUAGCAUUGUUGCCAUUGACUGAGGUAAACAUCUAAGUGGACCUUUAAAACUUGAGGUAUUUAAAAUAACUUACAGGGAAAUUAUAAGGGGCAAUUGUUAGAGCUGAGGGAUAUUUUUGAAGAUUGGGAUACUGAUAUUAAAUCAAUUGUUUCUUUGAAAGAUGGAACUUUCCAUUAGUAUUUCUUUAUCACUCAGUGAAAAGUAAUAUGACUUUAUCAAAACUUGUAUUAAGGAAUAAAAGUUGUUCCUAAUGUAACCUGCAUUGUAUUCCUUAGCAUGCCAGACCAUACUUAGUGGUUUCUUUCAAAUUAGUUUAAUAGUUGUAGAAGUAAUUUGCCUUUGUUUUUGUAGAUAGAUCUUUUAUGUAGCUUGUUAUCUGAUGGCAAAAAUUAAAUUCUAUGAUAUGGGUGAGUUUGGUCUGUUUCUUUAGAGACUAUGGUCUUAUAAGAAUUAAAGAGUUUUUAGAAUGUGCUUUUAAGGUAUAAUAUUUUUACAAAAGAACAUAUUCAUGCUAUUUAAAAAUGUGAAUGUGUCAAUAUCAGUGAAGUGUAAAAUAGAUUAUGAAUCAGUAAUUGAAUGAAGAAUGAUGAGAUUGCUUAAGUAAAGAAAUGUGUAAACACUAGGCUAGGAAGGGCCUUUGAGGCCAAGUAAAGGAUGUGAUCAGAACAGUGGGAAUUUAUUAAAGUGUUUUGUCAAAAACAAUUGCAUGAAUAGGUUUGGAUUUUCAAAUUAUUAUUACUGAAGUGUAAAUAUUGAUUUGAAGUGUGGCUCAGUUAGCUGUAGGAAGAUCACUUAAAAGAUGAUUGCUAAAAAAUCAUUGUAGCUCAGAUGAGGAUGGUAUUGAAAAAGAAGUAGAAUGAUGAGAUAUAUUUAGGAGGUGUAAUGAAAAGGACUCUAAUUGAGUAGUGAUAAGAUGAUGUUUACAACUAAAACAUUUUCUAACUUGCAAAAUUUGGUAAAGGCAGUAGAGAUACUGAGUUGGAAAACGUUGAAGGGAACUCAAGUUUAGAGUGGGAAUGCUAUGAAUAUUGAGAUUUGUUUUAGGUAUAUUUAGUUUGAAGUUUCUUUGAGAUAUGUUAUUAAAGCCAUCUAAAAGACAGAUAUAACUAUAUGAUAUAGAAGCUCUGAGAAGCAUAACAUAUGUAGUUCACAUUGAUGGUAAUUGAACCAGUAGGCAUCAGUAAUGUUGGUUAAAUAGAGACAGGAUAGAAUGAGAAGACAGGAGGGGACUAGGACUGAAUCUGAGCAUUCCUCAGGCUUAUGAAGAUGAUUCAGCAAAGGAGCCUAAGGUAGUAUAUUCAGAGAGGCAGGAGAAAAUCUAAGGGAAUAAGGUAUCAUACAGACAAGAGAAGUAUGGAAAAGAAAAAGUUGACAACAUUGUGGAUUGCUGCUGAAAAUAUACUAAAUUUUUUUGAAAACGUGUUAAUAGUUGGCUGUGCUUGAACAAAAGUACCAACUGUUUCUAUCAUCUCAGUGCAUAACUUCAAGACAAAAUUCGCACAGUCAACUAUGUCCAUUUUGUUUUUUGUUCGUUUUGUAUUUUCUUCUACUUUCUUCUAUCUCUACUUUCAAGCCACCAGUACUCAGUGGCAUAUAACUUUAACUCUUCCCAUGCAAAAUUCAUGCCUGGGUACAAUGAAACCUUCAGAAUCCUGGUUUAAGAUGCUAGAUAAUUCAAAAACUGAUGUUUUAGAAAUUGCUAUUCUAUAGUGAUACAUCAUAUCUGAGUCUUAUGAAGGUGGAAUUUUUUUAUAAUGUCAUGAAUUUUCCAAUUAUUGUAUCUGUUGAUACACAAGUGAUCCCAUUAGAAAUGAAGUUUUUAAACUUAAAAAUAUUUGACUACUAGUUAUAAUAAAAGAAAUUAGAAAGCAGUGUUUUGUAGUACAUUUUCUUUUUACCAUUGAACUCUAGAAACCACAUCAAUCAAACACAUGUACUCUAGAGAUCAUAGUAUCACCAUUUAUGUUCAUAGAGUCACUUUCUCUUUUCAGAUUAAACAUUCUUGGUUAAUGAUUUGUAUGUUUCUUAUCUAUCAACAUCUAUUUAUAUGUUUCUGAGUUCCUAGAACAAAUGUAGCUUGUCUAAUAAUAGCAUGGGAUCCAAAAAUUGCUCUUCUCUCCAUUUUCUUCUGAAAUGACACUGGGCCACUUUACUUAUUACCCUCUUCCUUGGGAAGAAAACAGCAACUAAGAAAUUCAUUGUUUUACUGUCCUUUUAAUUAGUGUUACAGUAAAUGUUUAGGUAGACCUGUCAAAAUCCUGGUUAUAUAAUAUAACAUGAAUAAGUCAUUUGGUACUUUUCAAGAAAAUAAUAGAGAUGCCCAAACUAUAUUAUAUUUCUAUAAAUGCCAAUUUAAAGAUAGUGUCAAUAAAUUAAUAUUACUGUAUAUAGUCACUUAAAUGUCAUAAAAACAUUUUUUUUACUUGUAGUAAUUACACAAUUGGUACAUAAAAUGUUCUGUAAAUAAUUAAAAUAAAACUUUAAGUCUAUUCCUGGCCCUGCAGUCCCUUCAAGUCCUUUAAUGUUCUUACAUCUUUUUAUAAAGGACAUGGUCAUCAAAAUGAAACAUCUUAUUUCAGGUGGUGUUACAAUGACGUUUUCUUAUGAGUAUGCAUUGCUCAUGUAUUUUCAGUUCAUAAUAGAAUGUAAAAGACAAAUGUGAAUACAGACAGUUUUUUAAUUAAAGCUACAAAUGGUUCCUUCGACUUCAGAUUCCACAUUGAGGGACUGGGAACUUGACAGUGGCUACUGUACAUUGUAAUUUUGUUCCUGAAUUUCAGGCAGUGAAACAAAAUUAACUGUAGCCUGCUUUUGACUUUGGCAACAUAGACUGAG